CAACUUGAUUUAAGUAAUUAAUCUUAGAGAAUUAAGCUUGAGAAGUGAUUUGUGGUGAUUAGUUUCAAGAAAUUUGGAGAUUCUCUACUUAAGCCAAAGGUUGGGGAAACAUCUACCAUGGAGUCCAGGCAAAUUUAGAGCUUAGAAAGCUUUAAUUGAAGCUUGCUAAAGCUUAUUUUUAAGGUUAGUGUUCAUAAACACACUUACCUUACUUGAAUUUUUGAUUUUGUGCAUUUAUGCUAUCAUAC
rnacentral:lncRNA from 1 species